rnacentral:rRNA from 1 species
GACGAACGCUGGCGGCGUGCUUAACACAUGCAAGUCGAACGGAAAGGCCCUGCUUUUGUGGGGUGCUCGAGUGGCGAACGGGUGAGUAACACGUGAGUAACCUGCCCUUGACUUUGGGAUAACUUCAGGAAACUGGGGCUAAUACCGGAUAGGAGCUCCUGCUGCAUGGUGGGGGUUGGAAAGUUUCGGCGGUUGGGGAUGGACUCGCGGCUUAUCAGCUUGUUGGUGGGGUAGUGGCUUACCAAGGCUUUGACGGGUAGCCGGCCUGAGAGGGUGACCGGCCACAUUGGGACUGAGAUACGGCCCAGACUCCUACGGGAGGCAGCAGUGGGGAAUAUUGCACAAUGGGCGGAAGCCUGAUGCAGCAACGCCGCGUGCGGGAUGACGGCCUUCGGGUUGUAAACCGCUUUCGCCUGUGACGAAGCGUGAGUGACGGUAAUGGGUAAAGAAGCACCGGCUAGCUACGUGCCAGCAGCCGCGGUGAUACGUAGGGUGCGAGCGUUGUCCGGAUUUAUUGGGCGUAAAGGGCUCGUAGGUGGUUGAUCGCGUCGGAAGUGUAAUCUUGGGGCUUAACCCUGAGCGUGCUUUCGAUACGGGUUGACUUGAGGAAGGUAGGGGAGAAUGGAAUUCCUGGUGGAGCGGUGGAAUGCGCAGAUAUCAGGAGGAACACCAGUGGCGAAGGCGGUUCUCUGGGCCUUUCCUGACGCUGAGGAGCGAAAGCGUGGGGAGCGAACAGGCUUAGAUACCCUGGUAGUCCACGCUGUAAACGGUGGGUACUAGGUGUGGGGUCCAUUCCACGGGUUCCGUGCCGUAGCUAACGCUUUAAGUACCCCGCCUGGGGAGUACGGCCGCAAGGCUAAAACUCAAAGGAAUUGACGGGGCCCCGCACAAGCGGCGGAGCAUGCGGAUUAAUUCGAUGCAACGCGUAGAACCUUACCUGGGUUUGACAUGGAUCGGGAGUGCUCAGAGAUGGGUGUGCCUCUUUUGGGGUCGGUUCACAGGUGGUGCAUGGCUGUCGUCAGCUCGUGUCGUGAGAUGUUGGGUUAAGUCCCGCAACGAGCGCAACCCUUGUUCACUGUUGCCAGCACGUUAUGGUGGGGACUCAGUGGAGACCGCCGGGGUCAACUCGGAGGAAGGUGGGGAUGACGCCAAGUCAUCAUGCCCCUUAUGUCCAGGGCUUCACGCAUGCUACAAUGGCUGGUACAGAGAGUGGCGAGCCUGUGAGGGUGAGCGAAUCUCGGAAAGCCGGUCUCAGUUCGGAUUGGGGUCUGCAACUCGACCUCAUGAAGUCGGAGUCGCUAGUAAUCGCAGAUCAGCAACGCUGCGGUGAAUACGUUCCCGGG